AUGUGGAUCCCAACCAAGGACGGCAACAUAGCCCCGCUGCCGCCGUCGGCCGCAUGGGAUUCUCCCGGCGGCAUCCUCCGGCGGCGGCAGGGAAACAAAUCUGAGUGGCGCACCGGCACAUUGACAUCGGCGUCCCCGUUCAGCACGUACGACCUGUCUGCCAUUCUUGAUUCUUCUAGCUUUGCACUCUGCUCCAGCUCCGGUCUUCAAAGGCGCGCGUGGCCGGCGUUUGGCGUGGGAAGGUGCUCAUGGCGCCUGCGGAGGACGGCCAGCAGCCACUGCACAUCCUCUUCUUCCCCUACCUCAUCCCGGGCCACCUCAUUCCCAUGGCCGACAUCGCCGCGCUCUUCGCGGCCCGCGGCGUCCGGUGCACCAUCCUCACCAGUCACCACCCCCGUGCAAGCUUCCACCAUCCGCUCUAUCGUCGACCUCUCUUCCCCACCAAUCGACAUCGCCGUCGUGCCUUUCCCUGACGUCGGUCUCUCGCCGGGCGCCCAGAGCGGCUCCCGUGGUGACCAUGGCAAGCUCCAGCAGGCGGCGCGGCUGCUCCGGGAGCCCUUCCGGCAGUUCAUCGCCGACCACCACGCCAGCCUCGACGCCGUGGUCUCCGAUAGCUUCUUCCCCUGGUCGCUGGACGUCGCGGCCGAGUAUGGCGUCCCGCGGCUCGCGUUCCUCGGCACCAGCAUGUUCGCCCGGUGCUGCGCCGAAAACUUGCUGCGCGACCACAACCCCAACGACGACGACGGCGGCGAGGGUGAUCCUGACGCCGUCUUCUCCGUGGCCGGGCUGCCGCACCGCGUGGAGCUGAGGCGGAGCCAGAUCAUGAGGCACCCCGACCAGUUGGCGUUCGUCAAGGGCAUCUACGCCGCGGACCAGAAAAGCUACGGCGAGCUGGUCAACAGCUUCCACGAGCUCGAGACGGACUACGUGGAGCACUACCGCACGGCGCUCCGCCGCCGCGCGUGGCUCGUCGGGCCGGUCGCGCUCGCCAGCGGCAGCAAAGAGGUGGCGUCCAGAGGCUGGGCGCCGCAGGUAAUCAUCCUAAACCACCCAGCGGUCGGCGGCUUCCUGACGCACUGCGGAUGGAACUCGACGCUGGAGGCGGUGAGCGCCGGCGUGCCGAUGGUGACGUGGCCGCGCCACGCCGACCAGUUCUUCAACGAGAAGCUGGUCGUGGACGUGCUCCAGGUCGGCGUCAGCGUCGGCGCCAAGGACUACGGGUCGUCCGCGGAGACCCAUCGGGUGAUCGGCGCCGAGAUGAUCGCCGAUGCCGUCAGGUUAUUGAUGGAGGAGGUCGAAGGUGACGCGAUGCGAAGAAGGGCGAGGGACCUCGGCAUAAAAGCGAGGAGCGUGGUGGAGAAGGGUGGAUCGUCCUACGGUGAUGCUGGACAGCUGGUGGAUGAGCUCAUGGCUCGCCGGAGUCGGCAACCGGGUGGUGGAGUGUGA
rnacentral:rRNA from 1 species